rnacentral:rRNA from 1 species
CCUGAUCCAGCCAUGCCGCGUGCAGGAAGACAGCCUAUGGGUCGUAAACUGCUUUUGUACGGGAAGAAACACCCCCUUGCGAGGGGGCUUGACGGUACCGUAAGAAUAAGGAUCGGCUAACUCCGUGCCAGCAGCCGCGGUAAUACGGAGGAUCCGAGCGUUAUCCGGAAUCAUUGGGUUUAAAGGGUCCGUAGGUGGGCCGUUAAGUCAGGGGUGAAAUCCCGCAGCUCAACUGUGGAAUUGCCUUUGAUACUGGCGGUCUUGAGUCGUUGUGAAGUAGCUGGAAUAUGUAGUGUAGCGGUGAAAUGCAUAGAUAUUACAUAGAACACCGAUUGCGAAGGCAGGUUACUAACAACGUACUGACACUGAUGGACGAAAGCGUGGGGAGCGAACAGGAUUAGAUACCCUGGUAGUCCACGCCGUAAACGAUGGUCACUAGCUGUCCGGACUUCGGUCUGGGUGGCCAAGCGAAAGUGAUAAGUGACCCACCUGGGGAGUACGUUCGCAAGAAUG